rnacentral:rRNA from 1 species
UACGUAGGGUGCAAGCGUUAAUCGGAAUUACUGGGCGUAAAGCGUGCGCAGGCGGUUUGUAAGUUUGUCGUGAAAGCCCCGGGCUCAACCUGGGAAUUGCGAUGAAGACUGCAAGGCUUGAAUCUGGCAGAGGGGGUAGAAUUCCACGUGUAGCAGGUGAAAUGCGUAGAGAUGUGGAGGAACACCGAUGGCGAAGGCAGCCCCUGGGUCAAGAUUGACGCUCAUGCACGAAAGCGUGGGGAGCAAACAGG